rnacentral:rRNA from 1 species
AUUGAACGCUGGCGGCAGGCCUAACACAUGCAAGUCGAGCGGAUGAAGGGAGCUUGCUCCUGGAUUCAGCGGCGGACGGGUGAGUAAUGCCUAGGAAUCUGCCUGGUAGCGGGGGAUAACGUCCGGAAACGGGCGCUAAUACCGCAUACGUCCUGAGGGAGAAAGUGGGGGAGCUUCGGACCUCACGCUAUCAGAUGAGCCUAGGUCGGAUUAGCUAGUUGGUGGGGUAAAGGCCUACCAAGGCGACGAUCCGUAACUGGUCUGAGAGGAUGAUCAGUCACACUGGAACUGAGACACGGUCCAGACUCCUACGGGAGGCAGCAGUGGGGAAUAUUGGACAAUGGGCGAAAGCCUGAUCCAGCCAUGCCGCGUGUGUGAAGAAGGUCUUCGGAUUGUAAAGCACUUUAAGUUGGGAGGAAGGGCAGUAAGUUAAUACCUUGCUGUUUUGACGUUACCAACAGAAUAAGCACCGGCUAACUUCGUG